UGCCCCAUGGCUGAGUUGGUUACAGCGUCCGACUGUUAUGACUUCGUCACGUACAUCGGAAGGUCGUGAGUUCGAGCCUCACUGGGGCAG